UGCCAAACUAUUUUGAGCAAAAUCAGGUGAUUAAAUGGAUGCUAAGCAAGGGACAGGGAACCACAUUGGGAACAUAUGGGCAACUAAUACGAGCUUUAGAUAUGGACCAUAGAGCAGAGGAAGCACACAAGGUUUGGGUACAAAAAAUUGGCAUGGAUCUACAUUCAGUUCCUUCGCAGCUGUGCAGACUCAUGAUAUCUGUAUAUCAUUGAAACAACAUGCUGGAGGAUCUUGUAAAGGGUAUUGAUGGAGCUCGAGUGGAGAAAAUUCUUGACUUGGCCUCUACUACCCUCAACAAAAAGUCAGUUCCGGGUGACAAGAGUGCCUUAGUGCCUGGAGGUAUCCGCAUUGGAUCACCUGCUAUGACAACUAGAGGAUUCA